rnacentral:rRNA from 1 species
CGGCGGACGGGUGAGUAACGUGUGGGCAACCUGCCUUUUACUGGGGAAUAAUCACUGGAAACGGUGACUAAUACCGCAUAAUAUUCUUAGGAGGCAUCUUCUGAGAAGGAAAGGAGAAAUUCGGUAAAAGAUGGGCCCGCAUCUGAUUAGCUAGUUGGUGAGAUAACAGCCCACCAAGGCGACGAUCAGUAGCCGACCUGAGAGGGUGACCGGCCACAUUGGGACUGAGACACGGCCCAAACUCCUACGGGAGGCAGCAG